rnacentral:rRNA from 1 species
AGCUUGCUUCCGCCGACGACCGGCGCACGGGUGCGUAACGCGUAUACAAUCUACCUUGUACUGGGGUAUAGCCUUUGGAAAUGAAGAUUAACCCCCCAUAGUCUCUUAGAGUGGCAUCACUUCUAGAGUAAAGGUUACGGUAUAAGAUGAGUAUGCGUUCUAUUAGUUUGUUGGUGUGGUAACGGCACACCAAGACUACCAUAGAAAGGGGGCCCUGAGAGGGGGAUCCCCCACACUGGUACUGAGACACGGACCAGACUCCUACGGGAGGCAGCAGUGAGGAAUAUUGGACAAUGGAGGCAACUCUGAUCCAGCCAUGCCGCGUGCAGGAAGACUGCCCUAUGGGUUGUAAACUGCUUUUAUACAGGAAGAAACACCUCUACGUGUAGAGGCUUGACGGUACUGUAAGAAUAAGGAUCGGCUAACUCCGUGCCAGCAGCCGCGGUAAUACGGAGGAUCCAAGCGUUAUCCGGAAUCAUUGGGUUUAAAGGGUCCGUAGGUGGAUAAUUAAGUCAGAGGUGAAAUCUUGCAGCUCAACUGUAAAAUUGCCUUUGAAACUGGUUAUCUUGAGUUAUUAUGAAGUAGUUAGAAUAUGUAGUGUAGCGGUGAAAUGCAUAGAUAUUACAUAGAAUACCAAUUGCGAAGGCAGAUUACUAAUAAUCAACUGACACUGAUGGACGAAAGCGUGGGUAGCGAACAGGAUCUAGAUACCCUGGUAGUCCACGCCGUAAACGACUGGUUACUAGCUGUUUGGACUUCGGUCUGAGUGGCUAAGCGAAAGCUGAUAAGUAACC